UUCUAAUAAAUCUAAUAACAAACAUCCUAUCAUUAAUGACUCCUUUAAAAUCAACAUCCUAUCUUUUUUUAUGAUGGUGGUGAGAUGGGUAAGAACACUAUUUGAUAUGUAGUAUGAUAGGAGAAGGUGACCACCGGUGUUGGUUCAUCCACUGCUGUUGAUGCUUCCAUUGUGGCCAUCCACAUAGUCUCUUUAUGUUCCGUUGUGAUGACAACACACCAUGAAACAUCAAAAGGCGUGUAUGUUUAAUAGACGGUAAAUCUUCUAUUUCCCUCGUAAAGGUAACCGACGACAACAAGAAGGUCAUGGCCGACAAUGCUUCGUGACUUACGAAAGAGCUGGUGUAGAUGUCGCUGAAGAAUACUCUUAUGUAGGGUAGAAGAUUGUUCUAUUUUUUUUUUUGUAUUUUAUGGUGUUGCUGAGUUUGGUGUAGAGGCAUGGUAGAAGGUUGUUCUAGUGUUGGUAUUAUAGAGAUUAACAUGAUUUUGUUUUCUCGAUGUACAUAUGGGUCACCAUCAUUUUUUGUGUGGUUUUGGGACCUAAGAUGAUAGUAGGGAUAAGUGUUGAGAGUGUGUGUCAUAGAUUUGAGAUGAUGGAGAAAUAGGUUGUGAUUGUUUAUGAGAAUAUCCUUACCUCUAACACAUGGCAGAAAAGGGAAGUUCUUGAGUUCCUUUUUGCGAUUAAAGGAUAUUUAAAGGAUAAAAGUAUUAUAUCAUGAUAUUUUUUCCUAUGUUUUCUAUGCAUUUUUCUCUCUAGUACUGGAGAGUAUCUUAACAUCUGAUACAUAUCACACUCAAAUUUGUA